GUCACAUGACCCUGCAAACACAGUGUCUCCAGGGCUGCACCAGGCCCCAGCUGCUCCUCUGUCUGGAAGGAGCAAGACGAUUUUGUUGCUGAGAUGCACGGAGCUCCCCGACUGACCUUUCCCUGUGCCAGUCCAGAGUGCCCGGCCGCUGGUAGACACCUGCGCCCCGCUGACGUUCCACCAUCUCCACCUAAAACUCAAGAGGCUGAAGCUGGAGGAGGAACGGCUCUCCGUCAUCGAGAGGGACAACCGCCUGCUCCUGGAGAAGGUGGCCUCGGUCAUGAGAACCAAGGGACAGAAUGACAGCAAAAACGACUCCACGCACAGGAGGAACUGAAACUGGAAUUUAGCAAGCACAUAGCCAAGCCUGGACCCUAAAAGAGAAGUGAGGAAGGGUGAGGAUUCAGAACACAAAUCCAGAAAGAAGACAAGUGUGAUGAGGGGGUGACAAGGAAGACCCACAAGGCCACCCGUGAGCUCCCCCAGGCUAACACAGCCACCGGUCUCAGGGCAGUGUGGGGUAUCAGCCUUGCCCAAGGCCGUGACCAGGGCAGUCCCGCUCUCUUCCUCUCUUCACUGUUAUCACAGCCAGAGCAGCUGUG
rnacentral:sRNA from 1 species